UAUAUGACUUACUAAGCCAUUGCUUCAGGAAUUAUGUCUACACAUAGACAAAGGUAUAAUAAUCUCCAGGGCUUUGCUUUCAUUAUGGUUUUGUUGUGCACUUCCUGUUGCUGUCCUGCUUGCGUGUCAGGGCCUGAAUCUGUGAGAGAAAGGGGAAGAGGUUGUAGGUUUUACAAAGCAGUACAGUGGUGCCUCGCAAGACGAAAUUAAUUCGUUCCGCGAGAUUUUUCGUCUAGCGAAUUUUUCGUCUUGCGAAGCACGGUGUCGGAAAAGUUUUGGAAAAGCUUCAAAAAUCACCAAAAACCUCAAAAAAGGCUACCACACCGCAUUCUAUGAGUUGCUCCUCGAAGUCAAGUCGCAACUUAUUAACAGUGUUAAGAAAAAGGAAACAAACUUGCAAGACGUUUUCGUCUUGCAAAGCAAGCCCAUAGGGAAAUUUGUCUUGCGAAGCAGCUCAAAAACCGCAAAACCCUUUCUUCUAGUGAGUUUUUGUCUUGCGAGGCAUUCGUCUUGUGGGGCACCACUGUAUUAGCUAGCAUGGUGAUAGUGUUAGCAGAUCUCUAUACAUAUAUAUCUUUACUUCAAAGUCCAGAAGAACUGUACACCGGAAUCUCCGGAAUGUAGCCUUAUUGGAAUUCACCGAUUGGGUCAGUGUUGCUCCGGGACAGGAGGAAGGAAGUCAAAUAACACCUGAGGUUGAUUCAAAGAAAGAGUUUAUUCUGCUGUCCGGAUAGCAGAAGGCACUUGCGUGAUCAAGUCCACAGCAAGUCCAAAGAAAUGACAGGUUUCAUGCAGUUUAUAUAUCCUCCAGGCACCCUCUCACUCCUCCCCUAGGAGCCCAACCACGUCGGCCUACGUACACAGGUUGACAUCACAUAUGUUCCUGCUCUGGUACUCUCAACCAUAAAAGGAUCUUCCUUCCUGCACCCUGACCAUAAAAGGAUCUUCCUCUUCCUACUCUUAUCUGGGAGAAUAGGUCAUCAUCUGCGGGAACACGCUCUGGCGCUGUUCCCAGAUUGGGUCUGCGCGUCUUUGUGGUCAGCACAUAAGAUAAAGUUCUGACGUGUCUUCUCUCUGUUCUGUUCUACUACUGGUACAGUGAAGGCCAUAGUUGCCGUCACAACUGAUAAAGGAGAGGGCUCUGUUCUUGUUAUGGAUUUACUCAACGGCUUGAGUUUAUGCAUUUUAGCUAAGGAAAAAUAGGGAUUUUGGUGCAGUUUAAAAACUGCCUGCACAGUCAGUUUUUGGGUUUUGGAAACCCAUUCCUUCAGGAAGAAAUAUCAACAACCUCAGAUAUGCAGAUGACACAACCAUGACGGCAAAAAGUGAGGAGGAAUUAAAGAACCUUUUAAUGAGGGUGAAAGAGGAGAGCGCAAAAUAUGGUCUGAAGCUCAACAUCAAAAAAACGAAGAUCAUGGCCACUGGGCCCAUCACCUCCUGGCAAAUAGAAGGGGAAGAAAUGGAGGCAGUGAGAGAUUUUACCUUCUUGGGCUCCAUGAUCACUGCAGAUGGUGACAGGAGCCACGAAAUUGAAAGACACCUGCUCCUUGGGAGAAAGGUGAUGGCAAACCUAGACAGCAUCUUAAAAAGCAGAGACAUCACCUUGACAACAAAGGUCCAUAUAGUGAAAGCCAUGGUUUUCCCAGUAGUGAUAUAUGGAAGUGAAAGCUGGACCAUAAAGAAGGCUGAUCGCCGAAGAAUUGAUGCUUUUGAAUUAUGGUGCUGGAGGAGACUCUUGAGAGUCCCAUGGACUGCAAGAAGAUCAAACGCAUCCAUUCUUAAGGAAAUUAGCCCUGAGUGCUCAUUGGAAGGACAGAUCGUGAAGCUGAGGCUCCAAUACUUUGGCCACCUCAUGAGAAGAGAAGACUCCCUGGAAAAGACCCUGAUGUUGGGAAAGAUGGAGGGCACAAGGAGAAGGGGACGACAGAGGACGAGAUGGUUGGAUAGUGUUCUCGAAGCUACCAGCAUGAGUCUGACCAAACUGCGGGAGGCAGUGGAAGACAGGAGUGCCUGGCCUGCUCUGGUCCAUGGAGUCACAAAGAGUUGGACACGACUAAACGACUAAACAACAAAUGUGCAUAAACACAAACUCUUUAUGUGUAUUGGUGUUUUCCAUUUAAAUACAAUGUUCACCUUGCCUAUUCCUUAAAAGAAAUAAGGAUACCUCUGUUCAAUAUGAAGUCUUUUGUGUGGCUUAUUGUGUGUCAUCUUUCAAUAAGUCCCAGAGCAUGAAAAGUUUUUAGUCCUAGCAAAAGUUCUGUAUUCACAUAAUAUUGUAAAUGAGAUAGCCUCCAUCUGAUCUUGGAAGCUGACCCUCAAUUCUCUGUUGGCAUACAACCAAGGAGGCGGGGGCAAUUGGGAGGCCCCCAGCUGGCUCCAUCCCACCAGCUGGUGUACCGGACAAACUCCAGUCCUUGGUGCCACAUGAAUCAGCGGCCCAAACUUCAAAAGCUAGGGCAUGCUCUAAUCAGCAGAGAUAACGCUACGCAACAGAAGUAUGUGUGAGCAUAUUUACAAGCAGUUUAUUCAGCAUACAUCAGGACAAAAGGAAAACAUGUCUGAUCCCCUUCAUGUCCAAAACAAGCAGCAUUAGCAAUAGCUAUACACAAAACGAAAGUUCCCAGCAAGCUGUGCUGAAGUGUAAACAGGCAUGUGACAUACAACAAUUCCACACGUCUGUUCUUAAGGUGGAACGGAAUUAUGCCAACAUUCUCUGUGUGGAAUUACUUCUCCAGUGUAAAACUAUGGUCUAAUAUUUUGUUUCUAAAAGGACUAGGUUUUUGUUUUGUUUUGUUGUUUAAGAUUCUGAUACUUUGUGUCAGUGAUCACUGUGACAGACUCUCUAAACUGAAAAUGGGAACUGGAUAGCAUGACCAAUUUUCUGUUUAAAAGAUACAACUCUCCUUAUUAACAACACUAGAGACUUCAGUUUCCUUACACUUACAUGUGGGUUCCAGCUUUAUGGUUACUCUUCAAAGGCACAACACUUCAUUUUAUACAUGCAUAUUCAUGUAAGGCACAGCAUGUCGUUUCAGGCAGACACUCUUUACACUGAACUUUAAAACCCCAGUCAGCACUUUUCUUCAAACUUCUUCUCAGGAUAGACUAUUUCCACUUACAAUGGGCAUUUGUUUCACUGCCCUAGCAACUAUCUUACAACCCCUUCUAAGACUUUUAAUUCCCCUUCAAGGAAUCAAAUUUGUUAUCCAUGUUUAGCUACAGUAGUUCCUAAUCCCAAUCAGAAUAGGUCCUUCUCUCUCCAGGUUGCUGUCUAAAUGACGAACAGUCCCUAUCUAACUGCAUAAAAUCCCAAUUUGUUGGACAGCAAAGUUCUGUAUUUUUUACUCACCAGUUCUUCCAGAUUGGUUGAUGUUCUAACAAUCUCUGACUGCUGCUAACUCAAGAUCUGUCCACUGCAAUCACAUUUAUCUAUUUGUUAUUCCAUCACACUUCCAUAUGUUUCUAAGGGAAUGGUGAAUACCUCUGGUCCCUGAUCUGUUCUUGUUUCAGGAGUGAUGUAAAAAUCUACACUGGCGGGUGAGGAGGUAUGUCUCUUUUGUGUUUUCUCCUGAGCUUCCUUUAGAUGGCAACAUAUUUUUGCAAAGAGUUUGUAUUAUUUCCCAUGCAUUCUGACACUUCCCUAUCACAGGGCAGUGUUUGUAUUUCUGACUGCCUCCAACAUGCAUGUACUUUUUGCUGAGAUGUUAAUUCAGAUAUGUGCGCAUGUGACAUUCCAGUAAAUCUAUGAAAUCCAGGCAAAGACCAAAAAUCAUUUCAUCUAGGUGCUGUCACUCCUUUGAAAACCUGAAUUGUCUGUUAAAAUGGCUCUUUGCAUGAUGUGGGGUGACAGAGUAGACAGGAAACAUGACCUGUUACUAUCUAUAAACCAGAGGAUUAAGUGCUACUGAGAUGUGUUCAGCCUGUUGUAGGCCACUUUGAAAACUAUGCAAGUGAACAAUGGGGUAUAAACUUCAACAUACAUACAUAAAUGGAUUAUCAACAUGCCAUGUAAUCUGACAAGCGAAGGAAUGCAAGAUGACCAUGUGACACAGGGCAGAUGUUGAGUCUGCAUAUAUGAAUUUAUCAGGAAGAUUUAACUUGAAAUGAUGCUAUAUUCCAGGAACUCCCUUUAAUUACACCUUUUCAGAACAAGCCUGGAAGAUAUAUACAGAGAAGAUUUCCUCAAAGCCAACAGUUUUGAUAAUGCAUUUUUUAUCUCCUUAUUUCUCAUGCUAUAGAUUAUUGGAUUGAACAUGGGUGGUACAAGACUAUACAUCACAGUUAAUGCGAAGUCCCCAUCAGAUGGAGUCUUAGAGGGAGGCCUAAGGUAAGCAAAACAUCCUGUGAAACAAAAUACGGAGAAGACAACAAGGUGAGGUAUGCAAGUGGAGAACGCCUUUUUCCUUCCCUGUACAGAAGGGAUUUUCAGAACUGCAGUGAAGAUGUGCACAUAAGUGACAACAAUGAAGACAAAACAUCCAAACACAACUAUUAUACUCACCACUAUAGCUCCAAUUUCCAUUAGGUAGAAGUUUGAGCAGGCAAGUGUAAGUAACUGUGGAAUCUCACAGAAAAACUGAUUGACAAUGUUGGAGCAGAAAGGGGUUGCAAAAGUUGCACUCGUGUGCAUGACUGCAUUAAGAAUUCCAGCUACCCACACACCAGCAACCAUUUGUUUGCAGGCUGCCAUGUUCAUCAACAUUUCAUAUUGUAAUGGAUUGCAAAUGGCAACAUAGCGAUCAUAUGCCAUGACUGUUAGAAGGGAAAAAUCAGAUGAUAAAAAGAAAACAAAUAAAAGAACUUGAGCAACGCAUCCAGUGUAAGAAAUGUGUCUGGUAUUCAUGAGAGAAUUCACGAUGGAUUUGGGGAUGGUGACUGAAACAGCCCCUAGGUCCUGUAUGGCCAAGUUCAUCAGAAAGAAGUACAUGGGAGUGUGAAGGUGGUGGUCAAAAGCUACAGCAGAGAUGAUGAGAAGAUUCCCAGAUACAGUUGCCAGAUACAAUGCCAGGAACAGAGAGAAGUGUAGAAUCUGCAGUUCUCGUAUUGUUGAGAACUCCAGGAGCAGAAAUUCAGAGACAGAGGAUUCAUUACUUAUUUUCUCCUUCAUUAAUAUAAAUCUUCCUGUCACUGGAAGAAAACAGGAAGAUAUGUAUUGGUUUAAGUCCUCUAGUGAUAACAAAUAUUUACUGCUUUGGAGGAGGGUUUUUGGAUGUUGAAGGUAAAAGAAAGAAGUGAACAAAAAAGGAGAAACAAUUAUUUUUUAUUCAAAUGAGAAUUUAGCUUUCAAUUCCAUAUCGAUAUCAUUAUUUUAAAAAAGACUACCACUGUUUCAAAACUAGUAGAAUGUGGUGUUCACAAGUUCUUGAAGUUGAUUGAAUUCUAGAGGAGGAACACAGGAGUCCUACUGCCAUCAUUUCCUUACUUGCUUUGUUUGUGGAAAUAUGCUGAGGGCAGAUGCACCUUGAGAGAAUCCCCAUAUUUACAAAACAUAUUUUAAUAUUGUAAUUCAUGGUCAAAACUGAAGUAACUCUUAAAUAUAGGGGGAUAACUUGCUGCCUAUAUGAUGCAAAUUCAAAAUCAAGUUUCUUCUCUUAAAUUCCAAUGUCCAUAACAAUCUGGGUCAUGGACAUGUUCAAAGCUUGAUUCCUGAUAUCCCCAUUCACUCAGUGAGUCUUUUGCAGGAGUAACUGAUAAUAGUUCCACAAGACUCACACACUUGGCUCAUACUCACCUGCAUUCUGUAUUCUAGGCCUAAUGUUUAGUACUCCUUCUUAGUUAAGAUCACACAGGUUUCAACUAUUUUUAUCUUUGUUAUAUGUUUUCAACCUUAAUGCAUGCUGCACACAAACCACAUUGUUUUGCAUGUAAAAUGUAUAGGCUCACAGCUGCUUUGCGCUUACCCAGAUAUUUUGGCUGCCACAUUAUGUUAAGCCAAGACAAGGUUCUUCAGCUCCCUCCUCACUCACUUGGAGCGGUAAUGAAGUUUUUUUCUUGGUUAAUAUUCAUGGUUGGUGAGGAGAGAGCCUAACCACUAGUCUUGGCUUGGAUGAUAGGCUAAAACCAAACUUUACAGUAGCUUGAGCUGACCAUAAAAAGCAUCAUGGAGGAGCAAAGCUACUGUACUCUUCUCUCCAUGAGGUUCAACAUUUGUGCAGUCUUCCUAAGAUAAAAUUUGGUUUAGCAUGUCAUGGAAGCCAGAUCAUUGGGUAUUCUACGUGAGUCUAAAUAAGUUCCAGGAACCACAACAAGCACGUUUUCCCAUUCUACACAAUACACUAUAGAAGUAUUGUCUACGUUUAGUCCUCUGAAAACUACCCAGCUAUCACAAAAGUUCUAAACAUAUACCAGUAAAUAUCUUACUCUUUUCCUUAGUAGAAAGUAGAUUUCCAGAUGCAAUUUCUUCAUCACUUCAUUUUCAUCUGUAUUUUAGAAAAUCACCCCAUCCUUUUGUUCUGUAACAUUGAACAUAUGGGUAUACUCUUGCAGAAUGAAGCUUUUAACAUGGAGUGGAAAAUUAUAACCUCUCUCUCUCUCUCUCUCUCUCUCUGUGUGUGUGUGUGUGUGUGUGUGUGUCUAAUGCACUCCUCAGAGUUUGGUCUCAAGAGCCCAACACAAAUUAGCCAUCGUGUCUCUGGAAACUUGGACUCAGGAGUUACACUAAAAUUAAAGCAGUGUUUCUAAAGACUUAGCCCCAGGAGUCUAACACAAAUAAUCAAGGUAUGUAAAAAACAAAACAAAACAAAACUUCCAGUUUCUAAACAGCAUACUUUCUAAUAUUUAAAAUAAUAAUAUUGCUACACAAGUCUGUCUGGAACCUUCUGGUUUCAACUGGACUUUCUCAGACUCAUUUCUUCUUUUUUUAAAAAAAUAAUGUUUUUAUUUAUUUUCAUGGUACCGAGAGUUGUAUGACGUAUGACUGGCUCAGUGUUCCCCGCUCCUUCUCUCUCCCCCCCCCCCCCGCUGUGUUUUGGUCAAUGCUCUAAAUUUCACCCAGGUGUUUAUCUUGUGAAUUGUCAUGAGAGCUUGUGAUGAAGGUUGGUUUUUAAAUCUAAUAAGUAGUUAAAUAAUAAUAAUAAUAACUCUAAGGAAAUACUAUAGUAUUCCACCAGGGGGGAAAAUGGUUGGAAGGGUAUCCUUGAAACUACCAUUUGCAAUGCAGACAUGGGGUUUCACAUCUGUUUCUGCUAAUAUUGGUCUCUAAAUAUAAAUUUGUGGAUUUUUUUACAUUCAAAUACAAGGGCCAGCACCUCUAAUUCUAUUUGUGUGUGGUUGCUUUUGGGGUUGGUGAGAGGGCUUGUAGCACAUACUACUUGUCUCCAGAGUUUCCAUAUCUAUGUAAGAUUUAAGGUGUAUCACUGUUGACUUUGGUUGCCCUGGGUAAAAUAUAGUGACUGACAUACAAAUACAUAAAUUAACAAGUUAACAUUUGGUUGUUGUUGUUGUUGUUGUUGUUGUUUUUAAAAAAAUACAUUAUAAAAGCAGUUCCUAUGCCUACUCUGGAGAUAACUAUGGACAAUUAAUAAUCAGAAUAUUGUGUUCAAAUCUUUAGACUAUCUUAGCAUGCCAUGUCUACAGAACAUGAAGUUCUUUUCAUUUAUUCAUAAAGAUUCCAUACAUUUGAGUACUUCCAGCCUUGAUGUAUGGAAGUGAGAGCUGGACCAUAAAGAAGGCUGAUCGCUGAAGAAUUGAUGCUUUUGAAUUAUGGUGCUGGAGGAGACUCUUGAGAGUCCCAUGGACUGCAAGAAGAUCAAAUGUAUCCAUUCUUAAGGAAAUCAGCCCUGAGUGCUCACUGGAAGGACAGAUCGUGAAGCUGAGGCUCCAAUACUUUGGCCACCUCAUGAGAAGAGAAGACUCCCUGGAAAAGACCCUGAUGUUGGGAAAGAUUGAGGGCACAAGGAGAAGGGGACGACAGAGGACGAGAUGGUUGGACUGUGUUCUCGAAACUACAAACAUGAGUCUGACCAAACUGCGGGAGGCAGUGGAAGACAGAAGUGCCUGGCGUGCUCUGGUCCAUGGGGUCACGAAGAGUCGGACACGACUAAAUGACUAAACAACAACAAAAACAACAACAGCCUUGUGAGGUCCAAAGGAACUUUGCAAGGAACAUGUGUCACUGGUCUUUUUGGCUAUAGUAUUUAGAUUUUAUAUACAUCGCUCACUUUACCCAUUCCUCCAAAAACAUAAGGGUACCUUUGUUCAACGUGAAUGUUUUUAUUUGGCAAAUUGUGUGUCAUCUUUCAAUGAAUCCCAGAGCAUGACUAGUUUUUUCUCCAAGCAAUGGUUCUGUAUUUCCAUACACUAUCACAAAUAGGAUGGACUCUAUCUGUUCUGGGAAGCUGACCCUCGAUUUCCUUUGUAGAAUUACUUUCCCCAUGUGGAUCUUAACUCUUACAUUUUCCAAAAGGAUGUGGUUUUGUUUUUUAAGAUUUUGAGAAACUGUGUCAGUGGCCACUGUAUCAGAUUCCCUUACUAAAGAUGGGAGGUGGGAAACAUGACCAAUUUCCUGGCUUUCUAAAAGAUACAACUUUCCCUAGUAACAACACUGGAGGCAUUUUAACUCUUUGUCGGUAAAAAACAGCCAGGUGUUCUACUUAUGGGAAGGAUGCCCUGUGUCCACUUAUCUGCCACCAAAGGUUCAAAGUAAAGAGGAGGCACUUCUGGAACAAAGAUAGAAUUUUAUAGAUUUACAUUCAUUGAGGAUUCAAACUUAAUAGUCACUGUCUUAAGGCACAACACUUCAUUUUAGAAAUGUUACUUGAGUGGGAUGCAAUAGUUUCAGGCAAAAACUCUUUACACAGAACUUAUAAACCCCAGUCAAAACACUAGUUUAAAACUAGUCUCAGGAUAGACCUUUUCUAACUAAAAUGGAUAUUCGUGUCACUGCCUAGCAAGAAUCUCAUAGCCCCUUCUAGGGUUUUUUCCUUAGCCUCAAGGAAGCAAUUGGGUAGCCUUCUAAAACUAAUCCCAAAAUCCAAUCAGAACAGGUCCUUCUCAUCUGAAGUUCCUAAACAAGGGCUCAUCCACAUUUUUCCUUUUCCCAUGGCUAGAAAACCCACUUUAGCUUUAAAUAAAAAGAAAUGACAAUCCCAGAAAAGCUGAUUGCCAGAUGAAUGCACUGGGUCAGAAAGGGUACACAUGCACUAUAUGACAGACAUUCCCUCUUUAAAUGUAUGAUUAACAGGCUAUGUGAACAGAGAUGCAACAUUGUUAAUGGUACAUCUAAGCUGGAGGAACACAAGAUGUCAUUGUGACACCUGGCAGAUUUUGAGUCUGCAUAUCAAAAUGUAUCUAGAAGAUGUAACUGGUCAUAUCUCCACAGAUCCCAAUGCUUAUACCUACAGAGAGAAGUGUAAUCGUUUCAGUAUAAGUCUGGAAAAGAUAUUAAUAGAAGAGUGCUUCACACCCAAGAGCUUUGAUACAGCAUUUUUAAUCUCCUUAUUUCUCAUGCUGUAAAUCAUUGGAUUGAACAUGGGUGGUACAAUGGUAUACAUCACAGUUAUUGCAAAGUCCCCAUUAGAUGGAAUUUUUGAGGGAGGCCUAAGAUAAGCAAAUGCUGCUGUGAAACAAAAUACGGAGAAGACAACAAGGUGAGGUAUGCAAGUGGAGAAGGCCUUUUUCCUUCCCUGAACAGAAGGAAAUUUCAGAACCACAGUAAAGAUAUGUACAUAAGUGACAACAAUGAAGACAAAACAUCCAGACAUAAGUAUUACACUCACUACUAUAGCUCCAAUUUCCAUUAGGUAUAUGUUAGAGCAGGCAAGUGUAAGUAACUGUGGGAUCUCACAAAAGAACUGAUUGACAAUGUUUGAGCAGAAAGGAGUCACAAAAGUUGCACUAGUGUGCAUGGCCGCAUUGAGAAAGCCAGAGACCCACACACCAGCAACCAUUUGUUUGCAGGCUGCCCUGUUCAUCACCAUUUCAUAUUGUAAUGGAUGGCAAAUGGCAACAUAGCGAUCGUAUGCCAUGACUGUAAGAAGGGAAACAUCAGAUGAUGAGAAAAAGAAAAAUGAAAGAACUUGAGCAAUACAUCCAGUGUAAGAUAUGUGUCUGAUAUUCAUGAGGGAAUUGGCCAUCGAUUUAGGGAUGGUGACAGAAACAGCCCCUAGGUCCUGGAUGGCCAAGUUCAUCAGAAAGAAGUACAUGGGAGUGUGAAGAUGGUGGUCAAAAGCUAUGGCAGAGAUGAUGAGAAGAUUCCCAAAUACAAUUACCAUGUACAAUACCAGGAACAGAGAGAAGUGUAGAAUCUGCAGUUCCCGUACAGCUGAAAACUCCAGGAGUAGAAAUUCAGAGAUAGAGGAUUCAUUGCCUAUCUUUGCAUUCAUUACUAAAAUGACUGGUGCUUCUAGAAGAAAACAGGAAGAUAAGCACAGGUUUAAGUCCUUUUCUAAUAAUCAAUAUUUGUUAUCCAAUACUGCUUCAGAUAUGAUUUUUGUGGGAUAUAGAUUUUUUAAAAAGUAGUGAACAAAAUAGUGUAAUAAUAAAUCUUCAUGUAAAGGAGAUGUUAGCUUCAACUCCAUAUAUGUUAAAAUAAAUUAUUGCUAAGUAGUCUUUUUUCUUCUGGGAAUUAUAGGGGUAGAGCUACCCAAAGAGCAUUGAAAUUUAUUCACGUAUGCUACUACAAUGGCAAGAAAGUUAUUUUCCCAAAAAUUGAAAGAAAAAGAAGAAUCGACAAAAGAAGAAUGGAUACAAAAACUUAUGGACUAUGCAGAAGUGGCAAAAUGUACUGGAAAAAUAAGAAAUCAAGCUAACAAACAUUUUAUUAAAGAAUGGACUGAGGUAGACGGAGACCUCCAGGUAUCCCACCUGGGGGGAGGUGAAGCCAAGCCUGUGGCAAUGGUGCCACAUAGGGUCCAGGGGGCUGCACAUGACCACACAAAGGGCGCCCCCAUGUGGGGAGCGGUCAUUACUGAAUAUUUAUGAACAAAUUGUUGUACUAAGCUGCAGUUUCAUAAGAGUAUAUAAUUAAAGUAGAUGAAUGAAAGAAUCCGUUAAGAUAAUUUAGAAUAUUCUGGAAAUGAAAAUAAACAUAAAAAUUAAGGAACCACGGAAUGUGUCGAGUUUUGAAGUGAUAAAAUAAUUGUAAAACUAUUGAAAUGUAUAUAACUGACAACCAUAAAUAAAAAAAAUAAACUACUGCUGUUUCAAAACUAGUAGAUGGUGCUGCUCACAAACUGGAUCAUCUUAAAGGAUGGUCCUGGUUGCAGGCAGGCCCACAACACAGUUCCCCCACCCCUGGUAUGGGGGGAGUGAUGCCCUUUACGCCAGAGUGGCAUCACGAUCACCCCAGGCCUCUUUUGGCCAAUUGCGAUUGAGUGGGGUGGAUGCUGCCACUUCUGUAGUUCUAUGUCCAUCUUUGGCAUAUUUUCUGUCUAUGUGGAAGUCUGCAGAAACAAUGUGGAGAGGGGAGAUGCCUCUUGCCAUCAUCUCCAUAUUUACAACACACAUUUUGAUAAUUACUUAGAAUUACAGUAAUACUUAAAUAUAGGAGGAUGAUUAGGUGCCCAUAUAAUGGAGACUAAAAUUUGUGGGUUUUGUGUUAAUUUCCAGUGCAAUGCCCAUCACAACUUGAGUGUACAAUACCUUAACAGCUUGUUUCCUAACAUCCCUGUUUGAUCAGUGAGGUAUUUGACUGAAUCACUGGUAGUGAUUCCACAUGGCUCAGACACAGAGCACAUACUUCCCAGGAGGCAUGUAUUCAGUAUUCUGGGCUCAAUGCUUUGCAAUUCCUUCCUAGUUGAGACCACAGAGGUUUCAGGUGUUUUAAUGUUUGUUGUAUGUUUUUAACCUUAAUGUGCGCUGUGGACAGACCACAGUCUUAUAAAUGUACAAAUGUAUAGACUCUUGGAGAGAAGCUUACAGCUGCUUUGCUGCUCCCCAGAUCUUUUUGCUGCCACACUAUGACAAGACAAGAUAAGACAAGCAAAGUGCUAAAACUCUCUCCUAACUCACUAGGAGCUGCAGUGAAGGUUUGUUCUUGGUUGCAGCUCAUGGUUGGUGAGGAGAGAGGCUAACCACUAGUCUUGGUUUGGAUGGUGUGCAAGUCAAAACCUGGAGUAGCCUAAGAUGAAAGCAAAAAGGAGCACGGCAAAGCUCCUGUAAUCUUCUUUCCAGGGCAUUGCACAUUUGUGAAGUCUCACUAAGUUAAGAUUUGGCUUAGGUUAUCAUGGAAACCAGGUCACUGGGUUUUCUAUGUGCAGUCUAUAUAGGUUUCAGGAGAGACCACAUAACAAGCAGGAUUUCACAUUCUACAUAAUACACAAUAGUUGAUUUAACCCUCCAAAAACUACACAAAAGCUACACAGGUAUCACUAAAGUUAUAAAAAUAGAAACAUCUCACUCUUUUCCUUUAAAUAAAUUUCCAGAUGAAAUUUCUUUAUCACUUUAAGAUGUUCUGUAUUCUUCUAGCCACCCAUGGAUCUUUUUUUUAAUUUUUAUUUUAAUCUCUUCCGCCUUUUCUUCUGAGGCAGUGAAAAUGUUUCUAUACUCUUGCAGAAUGAAGAGUUUACCAUGGGGUGGAAAUUUAUUACUAUUGUUACAGUUAUGUUCCUAGGAGUUUGGUCUCAAGAGCCUCAAUCAAAUCAGCAAUUGUGUUCCUUGUUGGUUGGACUCAGGAGCCCCACAAAAAGCAGCAGGAGUGUUUGUUAAGCCUUGGUCCCAGGUGUCCAACACAAAUCCAUCAAAGUAUGUAAACUUCCACCUUAAACAUUGCUCAUGAAAAUAUUUAAGCUAGAAUAAACCACAGACACUUAGAUUUAUUUAUGUUUCUGUUUCUAAAAAAACCACCAUAUAAUUUAAUACUAAUAAUAGUGAUGAUGUUAAUGCCAUAUAAGUCUUUCUGGAACCUUCUUGUUUCAACUGGACCUUCUGAGACUCAUUUCUGAUAGUUGUGUGAGGUAUAACUAGCUCAGUGUUCCCCGUGUACAGUAAUUUCCCCUUACCCACUGUGUUCUCCCAUUUAGGAUAUCUGGAGGAGAUGCUGUUUAUUGCAUUUUAAUAUAUGCUCAUCUGAGGUCUGUAUUUUAUACUGUCUGAGAGCUAGUUCUUCAUUAACAACAUCCCUAUGUGUCCCUGAGAUACCGUCAUGCAUUCAACCAUCACCUUUGGUUGCAGAGGAGUCUGUGCUCAUAACCCUGUUCCAUAAUAUCAUUUUUGUCUCAGUAUCUUAUGUAUCUGGGAUUGGACACCUUGUAUUAAAUCAGAGUUAAGGUGUUAACAUGCAUGGUGGCCUGGUCCUGAGUUUUCUAUGAAACAAGAGCUCAUCAAGGGAGCUUCCCUGCUCUAAGGAUGUGGCCCUGUAAUUGUGUGUCAAGGCCCCUAAGGCACCCCCAAGAGAAAUAAAGACACAAGGACACAGCAUUUUAGGUUAAUGUUAGUUUAGGCCACAACUUUAUUGGUUACAGAAUGUGAGCGGUAUUGGCUUAGGCAUUGGCAACAACAGACUCCACUCCUGCCUGCCUUGCAGGAAGUCUGUAAGGGUAAACCACCAGUAGGGGGAGCCCUGCUGAUGCGGAUCAAAUUGAGCAUCCCCUGGAUUCCUGAAGGGAUCUUGGCAUGGCCCUAGCCGCUCCACAGGCUUUGGAUGAGAUCCAUAUCCCCAGAUUCCUUUAACAAAAUACCCUUAAGCAUGGAGGGGUAGGUGAUGGCUGCACCUUUCCUCCCCCACACAACACUAUUCCAAUGCCUAAGCACCACGCGAGCCCAAAGCUCACCACCAAUACCUUCACACCUGCAACCAACCUCUUAUGCCUUUGAUAAUAUCGGCCAACCAAACAUUAAUUUUGUGAUGCCAAAUAAGGAUCUGUUUUGAGUUCAAGUUCUGUCCAUCCGUCUGUCCCCCCCCCCCCCCUGCAAAUACUUUAUAAUCUUUACUUCACUUUCUGCCUGUCCACUAGAGUGGGACUUUUUGAGACUAGAAGUAACAUGAAAAAAUUUCUUAAGUACCUGUGAUGCAAACUUAUGGCCCAUGCCUGGGGGGGGGGGGGGGAAUAGCUCUCAAGUGUGACUAUUUCAGAAUUCUUUUGAUUGAGUUAGCACAAUGGUUAUUUCUCCAAGCACAUUAAAACUUAACUGGAUUCUCUGUAAAAAUACUUCAGCUAGAACAAGUCAUAGACACUUAGCUUGGCAAAUAUGUGAAGAUAUUUACUCACAGAGUUUCAAACCUUACAGCAAGCAAGUCUCUAUCCAUUGGCAGUACAAAAAUUAAAGAAGUAAAAGUGAUCUCAAAAAGUGACUCGGAAAUAAAAGAGCUUCAUUUCCUUGCAAAAAGGAACAUGCAAUCUUUUGGUUGCAUGUUAAGAUUCCCAGGAGCUUCCCAAUAAUAAAGAAAUAAUUGACAAGGAAUUUAGUUUUAGGUUAUUGGCAAAAUUUUGGCCACAAUUAAAUUGAUAUCAGAUAGUGAGUGGUUUGUUUAGGCGUUGGUUCCUGACUAGCUGCACCUGACCUCAGCAGGAUAACACUGACGACUGGGCCCCACCAUAUAGUCAGUACAGGUAAACACCAUGGGGGAGCAUUGGUAUGGUCACGUGACUCAAGUUCACCCCAAAAUGCUCCCAGGGACCCUUGUGUGGCCCUACCCCCCAAAAGGUGUCAACAAAAGAAAAGAUGUACUCCAUCUGACCUGUACAAAACCCCAUCUUUGAAGGAAAUGUCUGCAUGGCGGAUAACCACACCUCCCAAGGCUAGGACCUUCUUGGCCACUGCACCAUCCACGCACUUUCUGGCCUUCUCGGUGGCAGCAGGGCAGUGGCUGCCGUGUCACACAUGUCGCUGAAGCAAUUGCAACCAAAAUAUUUUGAGUUCAGGGAGAGCUGCCAUCAACUCAUCCAAGUCCUCUUGCACGCGGGAACGCAAACUUAUGCUGAGGGAAGACGGCAAACCUUUUUGCGCAGCUGCACCACCAACGCUGGGGGAAGACCUUCACAGGUCACACUUGACCGCACCAAAGGGAGGAACUCCUCCCAAAGCAUUCCCUAUCUGGACAUCCAGGAUACGUUCACAUGGGCAGGAAAGCCAAGAUGGCACCCCAGUCCAGACUCGUCAGCGCGCUUGCCAGCCCAGUGCAUGAUGCUGUGGACAACAAUCCAAAUGGCAUCAUUGGCGACGCUUCCUGAUGUAACCCUUGUCAGCGUCAGACUUCCAACAAGCCUUAUUCAUAAUCCUGUCCACUGACAGGCCCCAGUGUGCAGCCUUUGUAGCAGCACCUAUUGGGAAGGAAUUAGGCAGUAGGCAAGUCGCAGGCUGCAAUAACUGGCGCACGACAUGAGCAAAUUGAUGCCUGGCUAACAGGGACCCGUUUUAGUGCUCUAGGAGUGGGCCAGCCCCCAGGGGGAUGAAGAGCCCUAGGCAAGGGCCUGCAUCACCAGUGACCGGAAGCCUGAUGGUGGCACCCCUGCCCACUAGGUCUGUCUUAGAGCUCCUGACUCUAACAACAAGCUCCAAAGCAGAUAAGGAAAAGUCCUGAAGCAAUAAGCCUCCAGACUCUCCACCCCAUGCUGGCUCCAACACAAUUUCCCCAACUCUCAGUACACCAAAACUGCAAGGGAAUACUGAAAGGAGUCUCGCCUCAAUCUUUAACCAGAGACAAGUCUUAACUUGUUGCGGAUACUGCAUAGAAGGUCAAAAUUGACCGGUUUCCUGCCCGCUGUCCUGUGAGGUUGGAGCCUAUUCCCACCUUCCAAAGCCCUGUGCAUGACAAACUUUUCACAAAGGUCUCUGGAAAAGAAAGCUUUAUUAUAACAGAAAUUGCAGUGGACUGAAAUCUGAUAGUUUUCAGCACGUCCGAUCUGCAGCAGGUGGGCCAACACUAUGAACUGUGCUCAGAAACGUACUGGGAGGCAAUGUAGGUCUUUCAAGACCAGUGUUGUCAUUUCAUCUAGGUGCUGUCACUCCUCUGAAAACCUGAAUAGUCUGUUAAAAUGGCUCUUUGCAUGAUGUGGGGUGACAGAGUAGACAGGAAACAUGACCUGUUACUAUCCAUAAACCAGAGGAUUAAGUGCUACUGAGAUGUGUUCAGCCUGUUAUAGGCCACUUUGAAAACCAUGCAAGUGAACAAUGGGGUAUAAACUUCAACAUACAUACAUAAAUGUAUUAUCAGCAUGCCAUGAGAUCUGACAAGCAAAAGUGUGAUAGAGCUGAGCUGAAGGAAUGCAAGAUGACCAUUUGAAACAAGGCAGAUGUUGAGUUUGAAUAUCUGAAUCUAUUAGGAAAAUUUAACUUGAAAUGAUGCUGUGUUCCAGGAGCGCCCUUUAAUUAUACCUUUUCAAAACAAGCCUGGAAGAUAUAUACAGAGAAGAUUUCCUCAAAGCCAACAGUUUUGAUAAUGCAUUUUUUAUCUCCUUAUUUCUCAUGCUAUAGAUUAUUGGAUUGAACAUGGGUGGUACAAGACUAUACAUCACAGUUAAUGCGAAGUCCCCAUCAGAUGGAGUCUUAGAGGGAGGCCUAAGGUAAGCAAAACAUCCUGUGAAACAAAAUACGGAGAAGACAACAAGGUGAGGUAUGCAAGUGGAGAACGCCUUUUUCCUUCCCUGUACAGAAGGGAUUUUCAGAACUGCAGUAAAGAUGUGCACAUAAGUGACAACAAUGAAGAGAAAACAUCCAAACACAACUAUUAUACUCACCACUAUAGCUCCAAUUUCCAUUAGGUAGAAGUUUGAGCAGGCAAGUGUAAGUAACUGUGGGAUCUCACAAAAGAACUGAUUGACAAUGUUGGAGCAGAAAGGGGUUGCAAAAGUUGCACUUGUGUGCAUGACUGCAUACAGAAGGCCAGCGACCCACACGCCAGCAACCAUUUGUUUGCAGGCUGCCUUGUUCAUCAACAUUUCAUAUUGUAAUGGAUUGCAAAUGGCAACAUAGCGAUCAUAUGCCAUGACUGUAAGAAGGAAAAUAUCAGAUGAUAAGAAGAAAAGAAACAACAGAACUUGAGCAACGCAUCCAGUGUAAGAAAUGUGUCUGGUAUUCAUGAGAGAAUUCACGAUGGAUUUGGGGAUGGUGACUGAAACAGCCCCUAGGUCCUGGAUGGCCAAGUUCAUCAGAAAGAAGUACAUGGGAGUGUGAAGGUGGUCGUCAAAAGCUAUGGCAGAGAUGAUGAGAAGAUUCCCAGAUACAGUUGCCAGAUACAAUGCCAGGAACAGAGAGAAGUGUAGAAUCUGCAGUUCCCGUACAGCUGAAAACUCCAGGAGCAGAAAUUCAGAGACAGAGGAUUCAUUACUUAUUUUCUCCUUCAUUAAUAAAAAAUUUCCUGUCACUGGAAGAAAACAGAAAGAUAAACAUUGGUUUAAGUCCUCUUGUGAUAACAAAUAUUUACUACAUUGGAAGAGGGUUUUUGGAUGUUGAAGGUAAAAGAAGUGAACAAAAAAGGAGAAACAAAUAUUUAUUUAAAUGAGAACAUAGCCUUCAACUCAUAUAGAUAAUAUAUCAUUAUUUUAAAAUAAACUUCCCACUUUUUCAAAACUAGUAGAUGUUCUCAAGCUCUUGAAGUUUAAUGCUGCCACUGCUAGAGGAGGAACACAGAGGUCCUACUGCCAUCAUUGCCAUACUUGCUUAGUAUAUGGCAAUAUGCAGAGGACAGAUGUACCUUGAGAGAAUUCCCAUAUUUACAAAAGGUAUUUUGAUAUUGUAAUUCAGCAUCAAAACUGAAGUAACUCUCAAAUAUAAGGGGAUAACUUGCUGCCUAUAUGAUGCAGAUUCAAAAUCAAGUUUAUUCUAUUAAAUGCAAUGUCCAUAACAAUCUGGGUCAUGUAUAUGUUAAAAGCUUGAUUCCUAAUAUCCCUGUUCUUUCAGUGAGGUCUUUGGCAAGAGUCACUGAUAAUAGUUCCACAUGUCUCACACACUUGGCACAUACUCAUCUAUAUUCUAAAUUCUAGGCCUAAUAUUUAGUACUCCUUCUUAGUUACAGGUUUCAACUGUUCUUAUCUUUGUUAUAUGUUUUUAACUUUAAUGCAUGCUGUGCACAAACCACAUUGUUUUGCAUGUAAAAUGUAUAGGUUCAAAGCUGCUUUGCUCCUCCCCAGACCUUUUUGUUGCCUCCUUAUGCUAAGCCAAGAAAAGGUACUUCAGCUCUCUCUUCACUCACUUGGAGCUGCAGUGAAGGUUUGUUCUUGGUUGAAGUUCAUGGUUGGUGAGGAGAGAGGCUAACCGCUAGUCCUGUUUUGGAUGACAUGCUGAAACAAAACUUGGAGCAGCUUGAGCUGACAGUAAAAAGGAUCAUGGAGGAGUAUAGCUACUGUGCUUUCCUCUCCAUGAUGUUCAACAUUUGUGCAAUCUUCCCAAGAUAAUAUUUGGUUUAGUAUGUCAUGGAAACCAGGUCAUUGGGUAUUCUAUGCAAGUCUCAAUAAGUUCCAGGAGAGACUGCAACAAGCAGGUUUCCUGAUUCUACACAAUACACUAUAGAAAUAUUGUCUGUGUUUACUCCUCUGAAAACUACACAGGUAUCACUAAAGUUAUAAACUUAUAAAUAUCUUACUUUUUUCCUUAAUAGAAAGUUGAUUUCCAGAUGCAAUUUCUUCAUCACUUUAUUUUCAUCUUUUUAAAUAAUAAUAAUAAUCAUCCCAUCCUUUUCUUCUGGAACAGUGAACCUAUCUGUAUACUCAUGCAGAAUGAAGCUUUUACCAUGGGGUGGAAAAUUAUAACAUGUGUACACACACACACACAAAAACCCACACACACUCCUCAGAGUUUGGUCUCAAGAGCCUAACACAAAUGAUCAAUUGUGUCCCUGGAAGCUUGGACUCAGGAGUCCCACAAAAAUUAAAGCAGUGUUUCUAAAGACUUGGCCACAUGAUUCUAACACAAAUAAUCAAGGUAUUUAAAUAGAAAGAAAGAAACAACUUCCUGUUUCAAAAUAGCAUACUACAUAACAUUUAAAAUAAUAAUAAUGCUAUAUAAGUCUCUCUAGAACCUUCUAGAAUCAGGUAGGUAGCCGUGUUGGUCUGCCACGGUGGAAAUAAAUAAAUAAAUCUUGAAAAGAUUAUUAAAAAAAACUAUUCCAAAAAAAUCCUUUAAAAGAAUCAAGUCCUUUUUAAAAAAAAAAGUCCUAAAACAGUCUUUAAAAGAAUCCUUCCAAAUUUUUUUUUUAUUUUUUUUUUAAAUUGUCCAGUAGCAGCUUAGAGACCAACUAAGUUAUUCUGGGUAUAAGCUUUCGUGUGCAUGAACACUUCUUCAGAUACUCUGAAACAGAAGUCACCAGACCCUUAUAUAUAGUGGGAGGGUGGGGAGGAGUAUUUCUCAGAAGGGUGGUGGGAAUGGGUGCUUGGCUGAUGGAACCUUCUGGUUUCAACUGGACUUUCUUACACUCAUUUCUUUCUUUCUUUUUUGAAUAACGUUUUUAUUUAGUUUCAUGAUACAGAGAGUUGUGUGAAGUACGACUGGCUCAGUAUUCCCCACUCCAUUUCCCCCCUCUGCUGUGUUCCUCCCACUUCUGCCAUUCUUUCUUCUCCUUUUCGAUCUCCAGAAGAGUUGCAGUCUGUUGCAUUGCAAUGCUUGCCUAUCUGAGGUCACCUUUAGUUGUCAAGCUAUCAGUGAUAUUAUUUUUGUCUCAAUCUCUUAUGUAACUGAGACUGAACACCUUGUGUUACGUCAGAGUUAAGGUGUUUCGCACAUUGUAGUCUGGUCCUGACUUUUCCAUGAAACAGAAGCUCAGCAGGGGAUCUUCCCUUUUCUAGUGAUGUGACCUUGUAAUUUAGUAAUGCCAAAUAAGAACCUGUGUUAGUCAUAGGCUUUUUUUCAGCAAAUCCUUUGCAAUUUUCACUUUGAUUUAUGCCAGCCCACUAGACUAAAGCCUCUGUAUGUGGGACUAGAGGUAACAUUGAAAAUAUAUAUAUAGUAAACUUCUUAAAUAUUUGUGAUGCAAUCUGAGGGUCAUUAUCAUUCCUGAAAAUCUGAGGUAACCAUGCCUGGGAAAAGAUAGCUCUCAAAUGCUAUUCUCAAUUGUGACUAUUUUUGUGUAAUUUUGUUGCAGAAAGAGGUUUUGAAGGGAGAUUCUUCAACUUCUCAUAGUAGAGUUGAUACAAUUGUGAUUUCUCCAAGCACAUUAAAACUUAGUUGGAUUUACAUCUGCCGCCCUCGACCUUUAAACAAACAUUUUCCCUGUAAAUACUUCAGCUAUAAUAAAUGAUAGACACUUUAGCUUAGCAAGUAGGUGAAGAUAUCUACUCACAUAGUUUCAAAAGUUGCAGCAGGUAAAUCUCCAUCCAUUGGAAGUAAAUCAAACAAAACAAAACAAAACAAAGAAGUAAAAUGUUCUAAAUGACUUAAAAGGAAAAGAGCUUGGUUUCGUUACAGAAAGGAAGAUGCAAUCUUUGAGUUAGCAAAGAUGCAGGCUGUAAAAUCACAUUUUGGGAAGAUUCAGUUCACUUGGGCUCUUUUGUAGCUGGGAGCCAUGCUACAACUGCAGCUUAUUCCAGGAAGCAGCAGAGUGGAGGGACAGAGCCUACUUGGAGUCUGCUAACUCCACCUACCUAGCAACUUGAUCUCUGUUGGAUCUAGGAAGCUUUGGAUCUAGGAAUUCUUUGUGUGGAAUUACUUCCCCAUUGUGAACUUCCUGUCCUCUAUUUUGUUUUCUAAAAGGACAAGGCUUUUUAUUUUAUUUUUAAGAUUUUGAAAGAUUGCGCCAGUGAUCUCUGGUCAGAGUCCCUCACCAAAGAUCAGAGCUGGACAACAUGAUUCACUUUCUAGGUGUUUAAACAAUUCAACUCUCCCAAGUAACAGUUUUAAAUCUUUGUGGUAAUGUGUGUUUAUUUAAACUGCAGCCAGGUGUUCUACUUACAGGUAUGUGAAGGAUGCCCUGUAUCCACUUAUUGCCAACCCAGAGGUCAAAGUAGUGAGAGGAAGAAAAAUAAACUUUUAAUGUAUUUAAA